UACGUAGGGGGCAAGCGUUGUCCGGAUUUAUUGGGCGUAAAGAGCGUGUAGGCGGUUUGGUAGGUCCGCUGUGAAAACUCGAGGCUCAACCUCGAGACGCCGGUGGAAACCAUCAGGCUAGAGUCCGGAAGAGGAGAGUGGAAUUCCUGGUGUAGCGGUGAAAUGCGCAGAUAUCAGGAAGAACACCAAUGGCGAAGGCAGCUCUCUGGGACGGUACUGACGCUGAGACGCGAAAGCGUGGGGAGCGAACAGG
rnacentral:rRNA from 1 species